GUCUAUAGCCAUUCCACUCUGAACAAGCUCGAUCCCAUCUGAUCUCGGAAACUAAGCAGGGUCGGGCCUGGUUAGUACUUGGAUGGGAGACCACCUAGGAAGACCAGGUGCUGUAGGUG
rfam:Pteropus alecto contig8623, whole genome shotgun sequence.